UGGUAAUGAGAGCUAAGCCUUCUCUCUCAGCUAAGAACUAAUUGUUUUCCCACAGCUUUUGAAAAUUUGGAAACUGUGACAGUCUUAUGACUGUUCUGAAUCAUGCUGACUGUGCUAAGAUGGCAAAAUAAUAAUGCUAGCCUGCUUAUCCAUGACUGAGUUACUCAUUAAAGGCUAUUAACAAAGAUGAUGGGGUCAGCACAAGCAGUAUCCAAAUAAUGGUAGUUUUCUUCUCCGCUCUUCCCUACUUUGCUGGGAGAACUGAAGUUUGAGAGUAGAAGGCCAACAAGAAAUGAAAUAGGAAAGGAGGGGUCUUCUAAGGAGGCUUUCACAAUACGAUCACUCCUGGAAGCUUCUCCACCAGCCUCAAACUUGUGAAGCAGAGGAUGAAGUCCCAGACACUGGCAACAGAAAGUCCUGGUUGUUCUUCCAUUAAGAAAAGCCAUUUGGCUGAAGAGCAAGAUGGUGAAGUAGAAGCAAGAGAAUAUCCUCUGCAGCUCAUAGGAAGCCUUCCAAGCCUAUGUGACUGAGCUGGGGAGCAGUGCUGUGUUCAGCCCGAUGUUAGUGGGGCCCCAAAUGAAACACUUGCCGUAUUCCUACCUGCCAUUUUCGAGUCUUGGCUUGUCCAGUCCUUCCCUGUCAAAACCUGUUAGCGAUCCACAUGUGUACUUGCAGUAAAUAUAUAAUCUCCUGAUUGUAAUUAAAAUUCUGCAUGCUUUUCUAUUCAAUAAAGGAAAACGCUGUGCAUCUUAAUCCAGAGCUCUGCUUUUCUAUCACAGUUUUUAAAUGUCUGAUCACUGAACUAAUUGCGCAGGCAGGUUGUUUUUAGACUGUAUCACACAUCUAUUAGUUUUAUAUAUCUCAAAAUAAGUACUGGGCUAAUUUUGGCUCUUCAUGAGUGUGUUGAAAAAAUGUUUUUUCAGUCCAGGCAGAUCUUAUAAUUAGGACUGACCUCUAAAAUGCCUGUAGGAUGAAGGGCAGUUUUCUGGAAUAGGAAAGGAUGAGAGCAGAGGCUCAGAGAAAAGGCAGCUCAGCAGGAGAUCAGCACACGUUACAACGUAUGAACCUGUGUAGCCAUAUUUCAGCAGCAUAUCUGCAGCUGUGCUGCUGAUGAGGGAAGGGGAACCGCAGAGCCUUGGGGACAGAAAGAACCUAUUGUUAUUCCUGUCCAGAAGGGUAAAUAAUUGUUCAGAGUCUUUUUUACUGACCUUUGUUCCAGGAGAGCUUGUGAGUCAAAGAGAAUUACAGGGUGUAAAUCAGAAAUACUCAGUUACAGGUCAGCACAUUCACCAAGAGAUAUAAUUCAGCUCACAGUCUCCCUGAGGAACAAUCCCUCACAAAUCUCUUUUAAACUCCUGCCUGAUGUAUUGGGCACAUUACAGAAGGAACUAUUUAAAAGCACUGAUUAAUAUUUUCAGCCACUGUAAAUCUCCCAGCAUCCUGCCUGGUGGUGGCUGUGCCAGCUGACCCUCAAAGACCCCUCUUGCUC